UUGUAUAAACUUCAAAGAUCUUUGUAUUAUAUAAUAAGCCUUUCAACUUUACCCUACAAUUUCAAGAACCUCACAAUGAGUUAAAAAGAAUGAAUUGAAACUGCAUAUUACAAGACAAGCUUUUCACAGAUUAUGUCCUGAAAACAUUAAAAAGGAAGAAUGAUCAUCAAACGUUGAUAUCUGAACGCUUAUAUCUGGCACUGCUCAUGUCUUGCGUGCUAGCAAAUCUGGGGAUGCUAUAAUUGUCAGGUGUGGACAUGGGUUGCUGCGGGUAAAGAGUGGGAGGCGGUGUGAGAUUGCGUUGAGCUGGUAAAGGAGGGAGUGUGUUGUACUUGUAAGAGUCUCCGAUAUAACUUGAACUUUUACUUUUAUACAAAUGAUCAUCAUCAUUUGAAAUUUCGCUCGACCCGUGUAGUGGUUUCUGAACUGGAGAAGACCAAUGAUUACCGGGUAGAUCAUCUGAGAAGUAUCUCCUCCUGAUUAACAUGCGGAAAAACUUCAUGACAGCUUCUUUGUCAUAUCUUGCUCCCUUGGCAGCCGCAAUAAGACCUCCACCACCAGGAAAACUCUCAGUCAGUGGGAUUUCUUCACUUGAAGGAAGUAGACCUUGCUUCUCAACCCACAGCCGAGCCAUAUCAACAAGAUUGCCACUGCUUCCUCUAACACCCUCGUUUGUAGCGAUAUCUGCUUUAUUGCCAAUGACAAUGUAAGGAACAGGGAGACCACCAGGACCUCCUGAAGCUAGAGGAGCUGA
rnacentral:misc_RNA from 1 species